GACGUAUAUGAUAUUAUGAUGAUAUAUAUAUAGAAGUUUUACAGUUUUGGCGUGCACAGGUUAUUUAAAUAAAACUCCUGUGUGAUGCUUGAGAUGGCAAGUUCAAUAUAUAGCUCUAAGAGCAAACUUUAAAGUUAUUUCGGCAUGUGACCAUUGAGUACCUUUUUAGUACUCAGCCCUGCAUAUGUUUCUAAAUGUGCAGGUUAAGCUGUGAUGCAGAUGGAGGCGAGCAGAGCAAAGCUUUUGAAGUAUAAGUAUUAAAUUAGGCUCAGGAUUCCAUGUCUUCAUACAUGUAAUCCACUUAAGUAUUUCCGCUGCAACACUUAGUGUAUUUUACUUUAUUGAUGUGUUGUAUAGAUUUUAAAUCAAUAGCUUUGAGAAUUAUGUCACUGGAAAAUUUGACAACUUGUCGUUGUGUUAUUGUGAGUUGUCUGCCUAAGCAGUUUAGAAAAGAUUGCUCAUGAGUUUUAAAAGUGAUUUGCUCAUGAUUAUUCAAUACUAAAGUAAUUCAUCGUUAAAGAGGGUUCAUUAUUAUUAUUUAAAUCUCUUUCCUUUUUCAUUUUCUUUCUCCUUUUUCCCAGUCACACCUUUCCCCGGCUUAACUAUACACUAUAUUAGGCCGGGCUGUGACAAAGUGGUAUCAGAGCAGGUCGUUUGCUCUGAGCCUAAAUAUUCCUUUGAGUCUAGUCUAAAUUUGAAUCUUUGGACUAGUGUGAGUAAUAUAGUAAAAGCUCUGCUCUCCAUCUCAUCCAACUUAGCCAGGUACGGAUUUUCAGAGUUUUGAAGUAGCAUGUUACAUUUUUAAACAAGUUUUAGAUAUGAGUUGCAGUUUUGCAAGUAUUAGUAUGAUGGAAACUUAUAUAUUUUAAAAUGAGCAUGGACAACAUGAGUUAUUUAUGAGUAUCCUCUGCCUAUACGAACUUUUGAGAUUUGAAUGGAUAAAAGUGUUAUUCAUAUUUUAAUAUUUGUGUUUUGAUAUGUGGAUGGAGAUAUAGAAAGUUUGAUGAUACAAUAAUGACGUAUAUCAGUCGCGAUGUAACCUAGUACUAGUAGUGAUGUUAUACUAGUUACGGCACCACAAUUAAUACUAAGAGCUUUUUGCAACAUAUAUUCCUAUCUUUCGUAUGAGAACUCAUUGAGGCAAAUUUUCUCAUGAUAUGAAGUGAUCAAAGUGGUCAUNUGAGAAGGAGGCCUACUUCUCAACACUCAGAGUUAUUAUGAUGCGUAGAUAUGGUACAUACAUGUUAAUUGUCAGCAGACGUAUAUGAUGUUAUGAUGAUUAUAGAGAAGUUUUUAUAGUUUUGCAUGCACAGGUUAUUUAAAUAAAACCCAUGUGUGAUGCUUGAGAUGGCAAGUUCAAUAUAUAGCUCUAAGAGCAAGUUUAAAGUUAUUUCGGCAUGUAACCACUGAGUGCUAUUUGAUACUCAGCCCUGCGUAUGUUUCUAAAUAUGCAGGUUAAGCUGUGAUGUAGAUGGAAGCAAGCAGAGCAAAGCCUUCAGAGUAUAUUAAAUUAGGCUCAGGAUUCCAUGUCUUCAUACAUGUAAUCCACAUGAAUUAUCCGCUGCAACACUCAGUCUAUUCUACUUUGUUGAUGUGUUGUAACAAUAUUUUUAAAUCAAUAGCUUUGAGUAAUUAUAAUCACUUGAAAGUUAGACAACUUGUCGUUGUGUAUUGUAAGUUGUCUACUCAUGAGUUUUAAAAGUGAUUGCUUAUGAUUAUCCAAUAUUAAAGUAAUUCAUCGUUAAAGAGGGUUCAUUAUUAUUAUUUAAAUCUCUUUUAUUUUUCAUUUUCUUUUUCCCUUCCCCAGUCACACAUUUUCCCUGACUUAACUGUUGUUAGUUUAGGUCGGGCUGUGACAAAGUGGUAUCAGAGCAGGUUGUUUGCUCUGAGCCUAAACAUUCCCUUGAGUCUAGUCUAAAUUUGAAUCUUUAGACUAAAAUGAGUAAUAUAGUAAAAGCUCUGCGCUCCAUCUCAUCCAGCAUAGCCAGGUACUGAUUUUCAGAGUUUUAAAGAAUCAAUUUACAGUUUGAAAGAGUUUGAGUUGUUAAUAUUGCAACUUUGCAAGAAAGUUAUUAAUAUUGCAAUUUUGCAAGAAUCUAGUAUUUGGAGAAGUUUACAUGUUUACAAGUGAGUGAAUAUGAAUAACAUGAGUUAUUUAUGAGUAUCCUCUGCCUAUACGAACUUUUGAGAUUUGAAUGAAUAAAAGUGUUAUUCAUAUAUUAAUAUUUAUAUUUUGAUAUGUGGAUGGAGAUAUAUAUAGACAGAUUGAUGAUACAAUAAUGAUGUAUAUCAGUCGCGAUGUAACCUAGUACUAGUAGUGAUGUUAUACAGUUAGGGCACCACAAUCAGUACUAAGAGCUUUUUGCAACAUAUAUUCCUAUCUUUCGUAUGAGAACUCAUUGAGGCAAAUUUUCUCAUGAUAUGAAGUGAUCAGAGUGGUCAUUUACUAGGUUAUUAUUGAGCUUUACUUGCUUAGAUGAUUGAAUUUUUGUGUAUGAGUUUUAUAACUUAGUUGGAUUAUAGUUAAGUAGGAGUUUGACUUUACUGAUGGGAUGAAAGCUCAAUUUUGGAGAUUUUGUGUAUUUACUCGGCAUGAUGUCUCAAAGAAGCAGUGGAAAUCUGCCAUCCGCCAUGUGAAUAAUUUAGAGAACUACUCGUCCCCAUCAACUUGAAAGAAGAAUAGCAGAAGUUUUUCAUCGUCAAGAUCCCUUUAUUGCGAGUUAAGCGGUAGAGUUUCAAAGAGGCAGUAGAGUUUUACGAGUUUCGCUUCCUUAGAUGCAAUGAUCAAGAGCGCCUUCUUGUAUGUUAUUUCAACUACAAGGAUCGACUUAUNAGUAGUGGGAGACGAAGCAGAAGAUAUAUACCCUCGAGCGAUUAGAGAAUCUUAUUUGGGGCCAGUUCACAGAAGUUUUUAUGAAGAAUAUGUUUCCAGAAGCCGUCGUCAGCAAAAAGGAGACGUAAUUUAACAAUUUAAAGCAAUAGAAGAAGACAGUAGCUGAAUGUGAUCAAGGGUUUUGUGAUAUAGCUGGAUAUAUGCCUUAUAAGGCUGACACAUAUAUUAGUUGUAACUUUUGAUAGAGUUUUGAUGUAGUGCCUUUGCUUGUUGGCAAACCAAAUAUUCUUUCAGCUAUUGCAAGCCAAACAUUCCUUCAACUAAUGAAGAUAUCUCUUUUCCAUUUCAUCCCUCCCACCAAAAGUUUUGUUUGAAAUCUUGAUAUAAUUUAGUGCUUCUGUGGUGGGCAGUAUAUAGCGUAUCAUGAGCUUUACUCGUGAUUUUAUUUCUCAACUGUUCAGUAUUGGGUACACAACUUUUCUCAAACAUGAUAGCAGUACCCCUAGCUUUUUGGCAAGUAUUGACCCCUUCUAUCAAAAUCCUUACCCAUAAUUUUUCUCCUUUUUAUUUUCCCCAUGUACUUUAACAAUUCUUCUUCUCAAAUCAAAAAUCAUUGUUAACAUUGCAAUUACAGCUUCUCUUGUUUGCUGUGGUAGAACCAUUUGUAAAUCCAACUUUCAAAUCCUUGAUGAGAAUUUUUCUUCAUGGGUAAGGAGAAAUCCUUAGUAAACUUGAGUUUUUCUACUCAAGGCAUCCACUAUUAUAUUGGCUUUGCGUGGGUGAUAAUUUAUUCUACAAUCAUAGUCCCUUACUAAUUCGAGCUAUAUUCCUUGUCUCACACUUAGAUCUUUUGCUCGAAUAAGUAUUUUAAACUUUUAUGAGGUGUAUCAAUUCCACAUCUCGUUUCAGAAUACCAUUGUUGCUAGUUCCAAGUUAUGUUGAGCAAUUCAGUUCUUGUGGUCUAUGUUCUCAUGACCCAAUAACAAUAACUCUUUCACUUUGCAACAAUGCACAACCAAGUCCAUCUUUGAUACACAGGACCAAUUUUAUAUGGUCUUUCAACUUUGAGAAUUCGGCCAUAUUUUAAAAUAGCCUUUCAUCCAACAACAGAUGAGCAAUUUGAGAGAAAUCUUUAAACCUUAGAAGAUGUGACAUAGACUAUUGUACUAGAGCGAAGAAGUGGCGACCUUAGCAGUAGGGACACUGGCGAUCGUAAGAAAUUCUGGGUUCCAAAACUCUCUUUCCAAAAAUGAUUUUUCAGAAGGAGCGAAUUCCCCGCAAACAAGGCAGGAGACGACUAUCUCAAGGUGCAUCACGCGUACUCAGAAGCCGCAUUAUGCACUAGAUUGAAGGAUGAAUUGGGAAAACCUUUUGCUAGUAAUUGAAUUGGCCUACAAUUAUAGCUUUCGGGCAAUAAUUGAUAUGACACCAUAUGGAGCUUAUUGUGGAAAGAAAUAUUGAUCUCCACUCUAUUGACAUGAGGUAAGUGAAAGAAAAGUAACAGGACCUGAUGCGCUUGAAGAAAUGAUUACGCUUAUCCGACAAAUUCAACAACUGCUCAACGAACCUCAAGAGCGACAGAAAUUUUUUUUUGUAGAUACUCGUUGAUUUGAUUUGAAAUUUUUGAAAUAGGGGAUGAAGUUUUUCUCAGUGUUCCGCAUUCUAAGAAUGCACAAAUUCGAUGUGAAAGAGAAGUAUCUAGCAUUAUUCUCUGACGUAGUCAAAUUUCGAGGACGAAAUUUCUUUAAGGGGGAGAGGAUGUAACACCCAGCAUUUUCACUACAGUAUAUAUAUUAUUUUCUAUUAUCUAAAAGAAGAAAGAGAAGUAGAAUCACUGAGAUGAGAUGAGAUAUUAUUAUAAUACCUUGAGCUUUUAAUUCAAUGAUUGCAUAAUUUGAAUAAUUAAGUAUUCUUGCUUUCUUUAUUAUUUUCAUUCUUGGAAGCAAGUUUAUAAUUCCUAGUUAAAGGGAUUAUUUUAUUAUUUUUCAGAGAUGAGAUUGGUGAUAAAUACGAAAUAUUAUUAGUCGACUUAUUGCUCGGCUAAUUGAAGUGACGGAUGUUAUUUAAUUAUUUAUCUAUGAGCUUUCUUUUUUUUUAAUAGUGAUAGUUUGAGGAAAUUUAGUAUAUCGUGGACGGAGGGAGUAUUAUAUUUCAUUGGGUGUAUAAUAAUUUAUUAAUUUAGAUAGCUAUCAAAUACUACUUGAGCUUGGAGCACAAGUUUCGUGAGUCAUAUUAGUGUAGAGAAUUGCUUUUCUAAUUUAUUCUUAUUUUUAUUUGAUCUAAUUUGAGGGCCACAAAAUAAGGCUUAUAGGAAAAGCCAAGUUUUACCUCUUAUUAUUUAUUUCUUCUACAAACCUCAAAUGGGCCGAUCAAGUAAGGGAAAUGAGGUUUGAAUUAUAUUGCUCAUUUCUAUAAUUGGAUUUAAAUUUUUAAUGUUUGAGAUAAGCAUUUAUUUAUUGUAAAGUGUAUAUAUUAGUUUGAGGAGAUUCAUUUCCUUUUCUUCUCCCCAAAACAGUCGACCUUCUCCCCUCUCUCUUUAUGGAACCUCAGUUUAGUUUGCUUUCAACCUUCAAGAAGAUUCAGCCGCCACCUCUGCUCCGACCGCCGUCGGCUGCCGUCGAGUCCAAGUCCGACGUCUCGUCUGUUCUUCCCUGGUGCCCCUCGCACUACUCUCAUCUUCUCUCAAUUUAGCGAAGAACCCAAAUGAGAAGCCCUAAUUUCAAAAUCCGAAAUCGCCGUCACCCGAGCCCGAAAUUCGGCAAUACAGCAUCCUCCUCUUCGACGUGGUCGAAGUUCUCGCACCGGAAGUCCUCGCCGUUCCCCCUUCUUUUCCGGUGUGGAGCCCUAAUUCUUAGUAGAAGGAAAUUACUACUGUCGCGACUGGAAGGCCAACGAACGGCUGAGCUUCGCCCAUCUCUGCCUUGAAUCCAUGCUCGAGAAGGAGAGAAAGGAAAACGAGCCCUAAUUCUUUUCUACUCCCGCCGUCAUGGUUCGGCUGCCACCUCCGCCGUCUGUGGAAGACCGGCGAUUCAGCGGCGCCGCUCCAUUCACAACGCCGCUACUGCUGCUACACGAUCCCCUCCGAGGCAGCAAGCGCUGCUGUCAUCAUCGUCGUCUUGGCUCGACUGAACAGGGUCGCGUCCCUCGUCGUCGAAAAGUUAGUAUUCUACUUGUUAUUGUAGAAAGUGUUUGAUGUUGCUUGUGAUUUCUGAGUUCAUGCCAUAAUAAUCGAGGCAUAGGUGACUUCUCUCUAAGAUUCCUAAAGUGAGAUAUUAAACAAAAUGUUAUAUGUUUCUAAGUUAGUAAUUACUUUAAAUUAAGUAAAAUGAUGGCAGGAAUCAUAGCUUCAGCCCAAAGCUUCGAUUUUUGACCCUCCCUCAAGAACCCCAGAAUUUCAUCUUCUUUAUAUUUGUAUCAAUUGACUAUGUAUACAUGUCUAUAUGUAUGUGAAGAAUUGAUUGGGAUUUAUUUGGGUAUUUAUUCACAAGAAAACAUGAUUCCCUAAUAGUUUAGUUUAAGUGGAUUUGGGAGUUCUUGGAAUAAGCUAGCUACAUGUUUGAUGCUUGUGUAAUUGUACUCCUUGAAUUGUAAAAUGAGAUUAUAUGACAAUAGUUGGAGGAUAUCAAGCAUGCUACUAUAUGUUGAUGUGUUGAACAUGAAUUACGUUUAAGCUAAAGCAUGCUAAUGUGUAGUAAGAUGAUGUAUUUGAGUUACUAUAGCUUUUAUUUGAUAAAAAUAUGAGUUAUAUGUUGAGUUGAGAUGAAGAAGGUAUUGCUGUUGGUUUUGCUGUACAGGACAGUACCUUGUAAGGUAUUUUCGGGAGUGUUCCUGUGAUCCAAAUAACUUGAAUUUUACUGUAUAACUUCAUCAUGAGUAGUAGAUCUCUGCAAAUUUCAGCUAAAUCCGAGACCAAUAGACAUGUCAAACUAUUUUCUGAAAUGUACUGCGUGAAGCAGCGUAGUUCAGUGGCAGAUUCUACCUUUGGUGAUAUAACUUCUUAUACACUUGAGAUAUUGUAUUUUUGUAAAUUUCUAAGAAAUAUAGACGUUAAUAGCUUUCUAAAAAGGUAAAGCUCGUAUUUUUCCUUGAAGCGAUUGAUUUUAUAUGAUUUUCCAAAGUUAGGAUUCAAAUGUGUAUGUGUCUUGAUUAAACUUGUGAUUGGUAGUUAAUUGAGAUCCUACACUACUAAACUUGAAUUGAGGUUUUAUUGUUCUAACUACCUAUUGAGGAUUAUUGAUUACUAAAGCUUGUUAAUAUGAUAGUUGAUGGACAUAAUUAUGUUUAUAUGAUUAAUUACUUUGGGAUUUUGUGUUUUACAUGUAUGGUUAGUUGUAAACUGAUCUCUAUGGAAUGGAUUUGUUUACUUCUAAACUUUCUCAAGUAGAGGAAUUCCUAUAAGAUAGGAAUAUUAGUUUAUACUUUCUUAAAGUUCAUAAGAGUUAGUAUAUUGGUUAGUUUAGUUGAUUCAACCCUAGCUCUGCAGAAGAUUAAAAGUUUAUUGGGAUGUUAUUUAUAGCUAAUUCUUCUUAUCUAGUUAUCCAAUCUUAUUUUAGAAUCUUGCUAUUAUGAAGGUGACAGUAGCAAUGAUAGAUAAGUGAGCAAGAGUUUCUACAUCGUUAAGCGUAUCAGGUGGGCUUUCUAAACUCAUAAUUUGAAGUGCGCACUAUUUAAUUAUGUUAUUAUAUGAAUGAAGUUAUAUUAAAGUUAUUGACUUGCCAAAACUUUUAUGAGCUUGUAUGUUACCAUCUACGAGAGAUAGACGAUAUCGGCCCUAUGCUGAAGCGAGAUGUCAGUAAGGGUUUGUGCACAUAGUUGUGACCGUGAGUCAUCGAGCGGGUUGGCCGGUCACUGUGAUCGGGAGCCUUCGGGCCGAUCACUGUGUUUGAGAAGGAGGCCUACUUCUCAACACAAGGUUACAUGAUGCGUAGUUAUGGUACAUACAUGUUAAUUGUCUGCAGACGUAUAUGAUAUUAUGAUGAUAUAUAUAUAGAAGUUUUACAGUUUUGGCGUGCACAGGUUAUUUAAAUAAAACUCCUGUGUGAUGCUUGAGAUGGCAAGUUCAAUAUAUAGCUCUAAGAGCAAACUUUAAAGUUAUUUCGGCAUGUGACCAUUGAGUACCUUUUUAGUACUCAGCCCUGCAUAUGUUUCUAAAUGUGCAGGUUAAGCUGUGAUGCAGAUGGAGGCGAGCAGAGCAAAGCUUUUGAAGUAUAAGUAUUAAAUUAGGCUCAGGAUUUCAUGUCUUCAUACAUGUAAUCCACUUAAGUUAUUCCGCUGCAACACUUAGUGUAUUUUACUUUAUUGAUGUGUUGUACAGAUUUUAAACCAAUAGCUUCGAAAAUUAUGUCACUUGAAAAUUUGACAACUUGUCGUUAUGUAUUGUGAGUUGUCUGCUUUGAGUUUUAGAAAAGAUUGUUUAUGAUUACCAAAUAUUUAGGUAAAUUAUUGUUUAAGCAAGAUGAUUAUUUUUAUUGAAACCUCUUUUAUUUUCCAUUUUCUUUUUCCAUUUCCCCAGUCACAUUUUCCCCGGCUUAACUGUUGUUAGCUUAGGUCGGGCUGUGACAGAGUGGUAUCAGAGCAG
rnacentral:lncRNA from 1 species